GCCCCUCGUGCCCUGGCUCCUGCUGUGCUCACAUCAUGCUCAGGCAGCAUCACUGGCUCAGCACCAUCAUCCCACGGUUAUCUGGGGGCCCUGCAGAGGAGAAGCAAGUGGACAAAUCCUGGUUGCAGACACUGCUGAUGCAGAAAAGCAAUAAGGAAGAUGCAGCUGAGGUGAAUUGCCCUCUCAACACAGAAGAAGCAGCAACACUAAACCUAACAGCAAAAGCAAGCGAGCUGCUGGUUCUAUAGGAAUCCUGCAUCUCCAUGAACAGAUGGAACUGACAUUUCAAGAUAUCAUUCAAACAGGUAAACAUAUCAGAAACAUUAUCUGGGUCGCAUUUAGGCAACAGGGUUUGCUCUGUUUUAAGUGCAAAUGCUCUGCUGAUGAUUUAGAUGAACUUCCUGAGGAGUGUUUGAAAUUCCUGGCACACAUUCGAUUUGCCAUCUGCUAGAAGGACUUUGGUGAACUCGCAGAGACAUCACACUGGAGGUGCUCUUCAU